rnacentral:rRNA from 1 species
UACGGAGGUGGCAAGCGUUACUCGGAUUCAUUGGGUGUAAAGGGCAGGUAGGUGUCCUAACAAGUGGGAGGUGAAAUCCUUCGGCUCAAUCGAAGAACUGCCUUUCAAACUGUUAGGAUUGAGUGCGAUAGAGGAAAGUAGAAUUCUCGGUGUAAGGGUGAAAUCUGUAGAUAUCGAGAGGAAUACCAGUAGCGAAGGCGACUUUCUGGAUCGCAACUGACACUGAGCUGCGAAAGCUAGGGGAGCAAACAGG